AUGCAGUCGAGCGGGGUUUUCGGACCUAGCGGCGGACGGGUGAGCAAUGCGUAGGAAGCUACCCGAUAGAGGGGGAUACCAGUUGGAAACGACUGUUAACACCGCAUAAUGUCUACGGACCAAAGUGUGGGACCUUCGGGCCACAUGCUAUCGGAUGCGCCUACGUGGGAUUAGCUAGUUGGUGGGGUAAUGGCUCACCAAGGCGACGAUCCCUAGCUGGUUUGAGAGGAUGAUCAGCCACACUGGAACUGAGACACGGUCCAGACUCCUACGGGAGGCAGCAGUGGGGAAUAUUGGACAAUGGGCGCAAGCCUGAUCCAGCCAUGCCGCGUGUGUGAAGAAGGCCUUCGGGUUGUAAAGCACUUUCAGCGAGGAGGAAGGGUUAGUAGUUAAUAGCUGCUAAUUUUGACGUUACUCGCAGAAGAAGCACCGGCUAACUCUGUGCCAGCAGCCGCGGUAAUACAGAGGGUGCAAGCGUUAAUCGGAAUUACUGGGCGUAAAGCGCACGUAGGCGGUUUUUUAAGUCAGAUGUGAAAGCCCCGGGCUCAACCUGGGAAUUGCAUUUGAAACUGGAAAACUAGAGUGUGUG
rnacentral:rRNA from 1 species